rnacentral:rRNA from 1 species
GAUGAACGCUAGCGGCAGGCCUAACACAUGCAAGUCGAGGGGCAGCACAGAAACAGCAAUGUUUUGGUGGCGACCGGCGGACGGGUGCGUAACGCGUAUGCAACCUACCUUUAACAGGGGGAUAACGGAGAGAAAUUUCCACUAAUACCCCAUAACAUCGAUCAAGGCAUCUUGAUUGGUUGAAAACUCCGGUUGUUAAAGAUGGGCAUGCGUUGUAUUAGGUAGUUGGUGAGGGAAUGGCUCACCAAGCCUACGAUACAUAGGGGGACUGAGAGGUUAGCCCCCCACACUGGAACUGAGACACGAACCAGACUCCUACGGGAGGCAGCAGUGAGGAAUAUUGGUCAAUGGGGGCAACCCUGAACCAGCCAAGCCGCGUGCAGGAAGACGGCUCUAUGAGUUGUAAACUGCUUUUAAACAGGGAUAAAGCACAGUAUGUAUACUGUGUUGAAGGUACUGUAAGAAUAAGGAUCGGCUAACUCCGUGCCAGCCGCCGCCGUAA